rnacentral:rRNA from 1 species
UACGGGGGGGGCAAGCGUUGUUCGGAAUUACUGGGCGUAAAGGGCUCGUAGGUGGCCAACUAAGUCAGACGUGAAAUCCCUCGGUUUAACCGGGGAACUGCGUCUGAUACUGGAUGGCUUGAGUUUGGGAGAGGGAUGCGGAAUUCCUGGUGUAGCGGUGAAAUGCGCAGAUAUCAGGAGGAACACCGAUGGCGAAGGCAGGUCUCUGGGCCAUAACUGACGCUGAGAAGCGAAAGCAUGGGGAGCGAACAGG